rnacentral:rRNA from 1 species
UAACCUGCCCAAGAGAUCGGGAUAACACCUGGAAACAGAUGCUAAUACCGGAUAACAACAGAUGAUGCCUAUCAACUGUUUAAAAGAUGGUUAUGCUAUCACUCUUGGAUGGACCUGCGGUGCAUUAGCUAGUUGGUAGGGUAACGGCCUACCAAGGCGAUGAUGCAUAGCCGAGUUGAGAGACUGAUCGGCCACAUUGGGACUGAGACACGGCCCAAACUCCUACGGGAGGCAGCAGAU